rnacentral:rRNA from 1 species
UACGAAGGGGCUAGCGUUGUUCGGAAUUACUGGCGUAAAGCGCAUGUAGGCGGAUAUUUAAGUCAGGGGUGAAAUCCCGCAGCUCAACUGCGGAACUGCCUUUGAUACUGGGUAUCUUGAGUAUGGAAGAGGUGAGUGGAAUUCCGAGUGUAGAGGUGAAAUUCGUAGAUAUUCGGAGGAACACCAGUGGCGAAGGCGGCUCACUGGUCCAUUACUGACGCUGAGGUGCGAAAGCGUGGGGAGCAAACAGGAUUAGAAACCCCGGGUA